rnacentral:rRNA from 1 species
UGGGCGAAAGCCUGAUCCAGCCAUGCCGCGUGGAUGAAGAAGGCCCUAGGGUUGUAAAGUCCUUUCGAUGGUGAAGAUAAUGACGGUAACCAUACAAGAAGCCCCGGCUAAUUUCGUGCCAGCAGCCGCGGUAAUACGAAGGGGGCUAGCGUUGUUCGGAAUUACUGGGCGUAAAGCGCACGUAGGCGGCCUUGUAAGUUGGGGGUGAAAUCCCGGAGCUCAACUCCGGAACUGCCUCCAAAACUACAAAGCUAGAGGAUGCGAGAGGAUAGUGGAAUUCCGAGUGUAGAGGUGAAAUUCGUAGAUAUUCGGAAGAACACCAGUGGCGAAGGCGACUGUCUGGCGCAUAUCUGACGCUGAGGUGCGAAGGCGUGGGGAGCAAACAGGAUUAGAUACCCUGGUAGUCCACGCCGUAAACGAUGAGGGCUAGUUGUCGGGCGGCAUGCCGUUCGGUGACGCAGCUAACGCAUUAAGCCCUCCGCCUGGGGAGUACGGUCGCAAGAUUAAAACUCAAAGGAAUUGACGG